AGACUUUAAGGGAAUGAAGUUCUCCCUUGACUUAUGUCUAAACCGCUUUGGUAAGCUAAUGACUUCUGCAAGUUU
rnacentral:ncRNA from 2 species